GUAUUAUUUAUUAAGGCCUUGCGGCACAAUCACGUUCAAUAUUGUAAACCAGUGCAUAAUGAGAGGAAGGGACAACUCCGAGGAGAACUCGGAGAUCCCUCUUUAAAUGUGCACAGGUGUUUGGAUGAAGAUUGUUAGGAGCGAGUACAUGCAGCCACGCGCUGCCAGCAUCAACCUCCUAUUACAAUUCAUUAAUGAUCCUUCCGCAGGUUCACCUACGGAAA
rnacentral:misc_RNA from 1 species